UGCUACUCUUGACAUGCUGGUUACAGGGUA
rnacentral:piRNA from 1 species